rnacentral:rRNA from 1 species
GUUAAAAAGCUCGUAGUUGGAUUUCUUUUCUUUGUCGUUGGAAAGCUACUUCACGUAGUUUCUCUAGCAACAGGGGAAAACAUUUGUCGCAAACCGGUCGAGUGCUGUAAUGGUUCUCGGUCGUUAAGUGACUCGUUUACUUUGAGAAAAUUAGAGUGUUCAAAGCAGGCAUUCCGCCUUGAAUAUGUUAGCAUGGAAUAAUAACAUAGGACUGAUAGUUCUAUUUGUUGGUUGUUCGAGAACUGGAGUAAUGAUUGAUAGGGACGGUUGGGGGCAUCUGUAUUCUCAAGCGAGAGGUGAAAUUCUUGGACCUUGGGAAGACAAACAGCUGCGAAAGCGUUUGCCUAGGACGUUCUCUUUAAUCAAGAACGAAAGUUGGGGGAUCGAAGACGAUCAGAUACCGUCGUAGUCUCAACUAUAAACUAUGCCAGCUAGGGAUCAGCGGGUCUUUCUUACGAGUCCGUUGGCACCUUACGAGAAAUCAAAGCAUUUGGGUUCCGGGGGGAGUAUGGUC